rnacentral:rRNA from 1 species
AACGAACGCUGGCGGCAUGCCUAACACAUGCAAGUCGAACGAGACCUUCGGGUCUAGUGGCGCACGGGUGCGUAACGCGUGGGAACCUGCCCUUAGGUUCGGAAUAACUCCCCGAAAGGGGUGCUAAUACCGGAUAAUGUCUUCGGACCAAAGAUUUAUCGCCUUUGGAUGGGCCCGCGUUGGAUUCGCUAGUUGGUAGGGUAAAAGCCUACCAAGGCGACGAUCCAUAGCUGGUCUGAGAGGAUGAUCAGCCACACUGGGACUGAGACACGGCCCAGACUCCUACGCGAGGCAGCAGUGGGGAAUAUUGGACAAUGGGCGAAAGCCUGAUCCAGCAAUGCCGCGUGAGUGAUGAAGGCCUUAGGGUUGUAAAGCUCUUUUACCCGGGAUGAUAAUGACAGUACCGGGAGAAUAAGCUCCGGCUAACUACGUG